CUUCUGUAUUUCAAAUAGGGGUGGAGCACCAAGAGAUAGCAGUGGAUAAAAUAUUGAUAAAAAUGUUCAAAUGUAGGAUAUAGAUAUAAGAAGAUAUGCUAUGAGUGCUUGGUUGGCAUGGUAACAUAAAGUACUUAACACAGAGCAUUACUUCAUUAGGUAUAUUUAUUAGAAAUAUAUAUAUACCACAUAGCACACAUCUAUCAAUAAAAGUAUAAUGUAAAAAUAUUUCAAUUGAAAGACAGAUUUAUCAACAAAACUGUAAUGUACGACAAAAACAAUAUAUUAAUGCUAUACAUUUUGACUGAUUAGGCAUGGCUUAAACAGCUAUUUUAUUCCACGUAUUAUUCUAUUAUUUAACAAAACAUAAGUAUUUAUCGAAAGUGACAUUAAUUGCUAUUGUGUGCCCCAUUCUUUUAGACUUUGAAGAAAGUACAUAAUAUUUCAAGCAGGUAUGAACCAAAAGCAAAUCACUAAAUGAAAGUGCAUUAAUUUUCUAAUUUAUACUAAUUGAGAUGACUCAAAAGCACUCAAUUUUUGAAACAUUAAAAUGAUUUACAAUGUUAAGUGACAAAAUGUUCAUGAUUUAUUCCAUCACAGUGGUGGAAUGAUAAAAAAAAACACUAAACUAACAACACAAAUUACAACCUCUUAAAAUAAUACUGAGUAACAUUUCACAUUGCAAACAAUACAAAAAGGUUUGACCUUUAUUUAUCUUAUAAGUUUAUUUCAAAUUACAAACAAGAAUGUGUCCUCAGUACACGAAUGCCCCACUCGCACUAUCAUUUUCUAUGUUCAGUGGACCGUGAAAUUGGGGUAAAAUCUCUAAUUUGGCAUUAAAAUUAGAAAGAUCAUAUCAUAGGGAACAUGUGUACCAAGUUUGAAGUCGAUUGGACUUCAACUUCAUUAAAAACUACCUCGACCAAAAACUUUAACCUGAAGCGGGACAGACGGACGAACGAACGAACGGACGGACGAACGAACGGACGGACGAACAGACGGACGGACGAACGGACGCACAGACCAGAAAACAUAAUGCCCCUCUACUAUCGUAGGUGGGGCAUAAAAACAAUAUUAGUACAGUCGACUCUCGUUAUGUCGAAGUCAGCCGGACCAGAGAAAUAUUUCGAGAUACACGUAGUUCGACUCAAACGAACACCGGAAGUUCGACAAUCUAAGGGACACAACUCUUGCAUAGCUUGAUAAAGCUAAAAUAAAUCCGGGUAAAUAUGGCAAGGGGAUCGAUAUUCUAGUAUUCAGAUCGAUGUAUUUGUAUGUCACAGUCUUUUAUUAUUAUAAUGACAUUAUUUUUACUUAUUCAAUUGUUUCAAUUAAAUCAAAAUCCUAUGGCUUUUCCAAGAGAGUACAUUUUUUUUUUUUGUAAUUUCCAAUCAAUAGUUUCGUUAUUCAGGUCGGUUAUAGCUGACAAAAUUGUUUAUUCUCGGAUACAAGAGAUUUAAGAAAAUUUCUAUUCAUUUUGUUUUAUCUCACUAUUUCUUUUCAAAAGAAAAUAUAACAAGAUUAAAGACGCCGUUUGAGUAGUUUUUAUCUGAUCAUCAAUGGAAGCCAUACUCCUCACUUUAUACACACCCAAGCGCAUUAGUAUAAAUCACAAAUUAAUUGUUUUGUAAACAUUUUAAAUACUUUUUCACGAACAUUAACAAUGUAUUACUAAUUAUUUAUAAAAAUUCUAUAAAAGAUAAUCUUAGGUAAACACUCAUGGAAAUAGCAUGUCAUAAAUCAAUACAGUGGUCAGUGACCGGAAAUCUAAUUGCACGUGUAUUGUCAGAUUAACUCUUCAAUCCAUUUAAAUCCCGGAGGUCAUGUUUUGACAUAUGUGUAUUAGUUCGAGAUAAAAAAUGAAUUUUGAAUGCUUUUGUUUAUCUUGGGACCGUAAAUUUAGUUCGACUCAACCGAAAUUUCGACUCAUCCAAUUUCGACUCAUCAGGAGUCGAAUUACAUACUUUUGUAUGGAAUUAAGUUCGGGACCACGUGAAAACUUCGACUCAUUCGAAAUUUCGAGUCAACCGAGUUCGAGACAACGAGAGUUAACUGUAUAUAUAACUUCACACUAUAAAUAGGUUUCAAAUUCUAAUGUUAACUUCAAUGUGCAAAAUGAAAGUGAAUCUGUGUUGCUUUAAGUUAACUUACAGAAUGUGACUGUCAAUAAUUUGAAAUGUAAAGUCAGCUGUAAGGUUUGAUAGAUAUUUCAAAAAUGUUUUUUUUUAAGAAAUAGUCAUUAUGGAAAGUACAGUUCACCUUUGUUAAAGCAUUUUGAAUAAAUUUUGAAGUUAUCUUCACAGAGGACACUUAUGUUUAUAUGUUUCAGACAUUGUAACUGCCCAAAAUAGCACAGCAGUAUAAAGUAUAAUAAUAAACAAAUCAACAAUAAAUAAAUUGAGACAGAAUAUUAACAAUAAUGUAACAAAUAUAAUGUUUUAAUUUUCACCAUCAAAUACAUAAACAGUGAUUAAAUACAAGGUGUUAUAAAUCCAACAAGACCCUCUUUGGUAGUAAAGUGAGUUGAAACUUUUAAUGUUGCAAUUUCUUUAAGGAAGUUUUUUUUUUGAAAAACUCCAAAGAAACUGUUUCAGACUAAAUUACAUCUCUUUUUCUGUUCUAAUAUAGAUACCUGACUUAUCUAAAUAUUUGUAAAUCCUUUUCCUAACUUUUAAGGAUGCAAUGCCUGAGGGAAUGUAUGAGUAAUAUACUGGUUAUAAUGUUAUAACAACAGGUUUCAUUGGGAGCUUUUUUUAAUAAUAUUUCAACUAUUCUAGAAAUUGCUUAAAAAUACAUUUAAAAUGUCCUUAAUAUAUAAUAAUAUGAGAUCAGUAGAAGAAGAAAGAAAGAAAAUCACAGAAUACAUAAACUAGAGGCUCUAAAGAGCCUGUGUCGCUCACCUUGGUCUAUGUGCAUAUUAAACAAAGGACACAAAUGGAUUCAUGACAAAAUUGUAUUUUGGUGAUGGUGAUGUGUUUGAAGUUCUUACUUUACUG
rnacentral:lncRNA from 1 species